AUUUAAAUAGUUUAAUUAUAAAAUUUUAAUUUGUGGAGUUAAAGAUACAUAAAAAUGUUUUAAAUA
rnacentral:tRNA from 1 species